CCGCUCAGGUCGCGCUGCCUCCUGCUGUCAGCCCCCUUAGCCAGGGCUUGUUUGUCAGAGCAGCUGUCCUGCCAGGUUCUCCACGCUGCCGAGGCAUCUCGCCUCUUUUGGCACGUUUUCCUCUCCCGACUCCCCCGUCCCCGCGCGUUUCAGGCCAGCGCCUUCAGGAAGGAGCAGGGUGAGCUCAGGAGGGGCAGCCCGUCCCCCUCUUUGCCGGCCCCGCCACGUCUCGCGUCCUUGGGACACUCAGCUACGUGGGAGCCCCGAAACUGGGGAGCGGUGCUGUUUUUCUGUGUCCUUCACUAUGAAAUGUCUGUGAGGAGACGUCUUUGCCUGCCGGAGGGAAAGCUGCCGCCCUGCUAUACAGUUCAGGUGUACAGCCAGACCUGCAAAAAGAGCGGGGUGCGAACCCCCUGCCGACAGGUGUUUGUGAACCUGCCUCUCCACUCUGUCAUAGCAGCGUGCUGCUUAUUCCUCACUUUCUUUGGUCUAAACUGCCCGAACUGGAAGAUGCCGAGGCGCACAAGGCAGCAGGAUGCUUUGUGAGGGGACUUUGACUACCCCUCAGGAAGCCCGCAGCUCAGGAGUGGACCAUCUCUGUCCCGUUUCCCUUUUCAGAUGGCCAAUCUUCUGUCAGAAGUUUUUCUCAGAUGCACAAAAUUAAUGAACGGGUAGAGCAAUUUUGCAGAGAGUGGAAUACUCAGAGGUCCAUACUGGAGCAGAAACAGAAGAAGGAUCAAAAGACAUUGUUGCUCUAUUUUUACCUGCUCGAAUGCCCAAAGACUUCACUCAUGAGUCCUCCAGACGUGUCACAGAGGUGCAACGACGUACUCAGAGGCAGGCAUCUAAUUGUCUCCAACCUCGGUGAGAGAUGAGUAGCAGCACUGCUUCUUUCAGGUGGGUCUGAGAGCUGCUGUGGAACUGAAGACCAGGAGUUGCCUACGUUAACCGGAGGACUGAGAUGCUCUGAUCAGCCUGCCUGCUGAGGCAGUGGUUACAGCUCGAGUAGCAUACGGCACUGGAGUAAAUCCACAUUCUCUACUUCUUUCUCAUAAGCUUGAAAAUAAAUGGAUACUGUGUUCCUUUUUACAUUCCUGGUAGCCAGAGGGUCUUUCACCCUGAUGUGAGAACUGUGUGAAUCAAAAAUAUCGGCAAUGUUCCUCGCUGGCUUACACUCAGCUGAGUGCUAGAGAGCCCUCUUCUGCUGGGUGCUGUACACACACUGUGCAAAAGGAGGAUGUUGCCGUGAAGAGUUUCUAGCCUGAGCAGUGGACAAGAGACUUGUGUUUUUAAGGGGGCAGAAGAAACAACAAGACUUAUACUAGGGAGCAUAGCGGAACAGCAAUUUUGGAGUGCUGCCAGCUGAAGAUCAGCCCCUGUAGACAUCACACCUCACACCUGAAGAGAGACCAGAAAGAGGUUCCCGAUGCUCACAUUAAUUAAAAGGCCUAACAUUCACAUCAUUCAUUCACAUUAUUGUUAGUAGCAUUCCUACUGCACGAAAUGUGUCCUGUCUUUCUCCGCUGUAUUGUGAAAAACAGUGACCUAAAAGGAGCUUCCAGAUGCAGAGUUUAGGUUGAAAGUUUUUUGAUGGAACAGGUUCUUUUUGGAAGAUUCCAGGUUUUAGAGACUGAACUUUUUGCACUCAGUGAACAUUUGCUGAAUUCUCCACAGCAAAGACCUGCAUUAAACUAGUCUCCCCGCACAGGUCAACCCACGGCAGUCCCCUGAUGGAUUGGCCAUGGAGCCAGGGAGUCUGGGAACUCCCUGCUUUCAGUAACAUUGAUACCUGAUUUUGCUGUUGGUAUUAGUUCUGAGCAGCUCUGCUGAGCAGACACAGAGUCUAAUAGGCUUCCUGCUAAGUGGAAGAUUGUGAAGAAAACAAAUUUUCAUCUGAUUGAAACUGAAACCAAACUUUGAAAAAAAAUGAAGUUUCCUGCUAGCAGAAAACCCUCCUUCCUGGCUGUCCUCAGUUCUAACUUGGACCUUCUCAUCAAAACUUGGGAUGUCUGUGCUUCUUGACUUCUGGAAUUUCAGUACACAACAGGAGAUGUAUAAAUACAGGAAAUGAGAAUAUCCUGAUGGGAGGUAUCUGCAUCUGUGGACAGCCAGCAGCUGUGUAGCCCUUGGCUUUUAGUAUACACAUACAGAAUACUGAGCAUACCCUGUUCUUGUACUGUAGUUCCGUAGAGACGACCAGAAAAUGAUACGAACAUUUCAGGUUAGCUGCAAAAGGUAUAAAAUCUAAGAUUUCUAUUUUAUGCUUGGGUCAUAGGCCAACCAGCUGCUAUUGAAGUUUACCUUAUCAGGCUGUUUAAAGUAAAUUUAAGGACGGAGGUCUCAGCUCUCACUUAUUUCAGUUGUGUUGUUGGAUUACCGAGUAAAAAGAUCCAUACAGUUCUUACGAAUACCAUAUCCUGCUCUGAUGCAUUUUGUCUGGUGGGGUCAAGAGGAACUAAUCUCCUUUUGAGACUCCUUUGAUGGCUGCUCAGCCCACCUGUGGACUGGUCUGCAGGCAGUGUAGAAUGCUGAGGAAAAAGGCAUUUUUUAAAAGUAGUUUUGACCAUUUGCCUGCAGGUUGCUUAUCCAGGAAUAACACUCAAACCAGAGACUACAUGGAAGUUCACUAUCUCAUGAAGUAACUCAGGUAGAAAUGAUGGAACACAUUUCCUUAGAGAUCAGAAAUCUCCCACUUUGUCAAAGAAGGUACAUGAAAUAACCUUGUACGGCCAGAGUCCAAUGUACCAGGAACAUGAGCUUCAAGAAGCUAGCACAGUAUGGGGUAGACUGACAAGCCAGGUGAUGAUUAUGAAACUAAUAACAGUAAUAUGGUCAGAAACUCUAAAAUGCUCUGUGUGGAUUUAUGCAUUUGUAUGCCACUGUAUGCUAUUGUUGCUCUUAACAGGUUUUCUGUCGGUUUAAAUUGGUAUUAGAUGUAGUUAAGGUUCCCCCAGUGUUUAACAGAAAACAAGUUUGGGCCUCUUUCUUAUUAUGUUAAAAACCAACAUUUAGUAUCUUUAAUCCUCAAAGCAAACUUUAGGACAUCUCUACAUGUAACAGACAUGUAACAUAUCACUAGCAGCAAACAUUCUGGGGCAGUAGCCAAAUAGGACAGAAACUCAGAAUAACUGAUCAGCAAAUGGCUAUUUUGCAACCCAGGCAUUCAAGCAAAACAAUUUUAUUUCUAGUGAGUACCCCUGACUCUCAGUGCUCUUGGCAGUCUUUUGUAGGUAAAUGGUUGCUAGUCAAAAUCUGCUCCAGUUCGACUGAGGUUGUCCAGUCAGAUGGCAGGCUGCACCCAAG